AACGAACGCUGGCGGCAUGCCUAACACAUGCAAGUCGAACGAGACCUUCGGGUCUAGUGGCGCACGGGUGCGUAACGCGUGGGAACCUGCCCUUAGGUUCGGAAUAACUCCCCGAAAGGGGUGUUAAUACCGGAUAAUGUCUUCGGACCAAAGAUUUAUCGCCUUUGGAUGGGCCCGCGUUGGAUUAGCUAGUUGGUAGGGUAAAAGCCUACCAAGGCGACGAUCCAUAGCUGGUCUGAGAGGAUGAUCAGCCACACUGGGACUGAGACACGGCCCAGACUCCUACGGGAGGCAGCAGUGGGGAAUAUUGGACAAGGGGCGAAAGCCUGAUCCAGCAAUGCCGCGUGAGUGAUGAAGGCCUUAGGGUUGUAAAGCUCUUUUACCCGGGAUGAUAAUGACAGUACCGGGAGAAUAAGCUCCGGCUAACUCCGUG
rnacentral:rRNA from 1 species